ACAAUUGAUGGGCCUAGUGCGAGGAGAAAUUGCUUUCUUAAUGCCUUAAUUAACGAAGAUACCGCUGUUAGAAGUCCUCAGAGGGUUCACAGCACUUUGAGGGAGCAUAAAAGAUGACCGGUGGUUAUUCAGGGUGAAGCUGCUCUGAGGGAUAUUUGGCCUCAGUGAAUCCUCAUAAGCAUUGUGUUUGGAUCCAAGACAGAACUGAAGCAGCAUGGUACUUUUUGAGGACCAAACCCCGAAUUUAAAUAUUAAAUCUUUAUUAGAUAAUGAAUACUAAAGGCCAUUAGGCACAUAUCAAGGACAAACAUGCUUGCUUUAGUCAAAAGGAAGAAAUGUGUUUAGCAACUGAUUUUCACUUGUCUUUUUGCAGUUUACGGUUGUGUUUCUUAUACUUGUUAAAACUUGAUUAUAAAUUGUCAUAAGGAGAAAACCACAAAGGAUUAACACACUUAAAUGUUCAUAAUUGAGAUCGCUGGGUAGUGCUGCUGGGUGACCAUGCCCACGGGGUGUUUCACCCAGAGAUGACUGGUUUGGGGACCGGAUUAAAUUAGUUUUAAAACAAUAAAAGCACAUGUGUACUCAGGAAAAAAUCUGCACUCACUUCUUGCAAAUAAUUUAUUUAAUGCUGUUUCUACUGUUAUAGCAUGCUUACUUAAUCUUUUAAAGAAAGAAGUUUGCUACUUUCUUAACAUCAAUGUUGCCAUGAGAAUCCAGGUCUAUAUAGUGAGACAUGUAUGUACCUCCCUAUCACCUCAGGCCAAUGAACCCGUGAAAGAUUAACUCCUGAAAGGUCAGGCAGUCCUAAUUAAAACCUCUAGAACAAUGUAGUCCUAAUGCAACUCUGGCAUGUUUACCAAUUUACAAAUCAGAAAUUACUUUCUCAUGGUUUCUGACUCCUUUAAUGCUGGUUAUGCUCAUAUCUCAUACUUUCAGGUGCAUAAUAUACCCAAUAUGGUAUGCAGUUUGUUCCAGGUUUGUGCAUCAGCAUUGCAUUUCCAUUCAUACGUCCAUGGCCUCAUUAUUUUUGAUUAAUUUCUGAGCUUGUCUUUCCAAACAUCAAUUUUUUGGAGGUUUUAGAGUAAUAAAUUUUCAGGGCCACUCCUUGUUCAGUGAGCACCUGGGUCUCUCUAGCUUUUUUCAAUCUUUAGAUGUAAGAUGCUAUUUAAAUUAAAAAAAAUUAGGUUUCCCAGGAAAUAAAGGGCAUGUCUACCCCUGCAGGUGCCAGAAGGAUGGAGUUCUCUCCCCACCUUGCUUUUCCACACAGCAGUGUAACCAUGGUGUAGUGUUCUGCUAAAAUAGCUGCCAGACAGGAUCAGCUUGUACCUGAUUAGCAUGGAGCAUCAGAGGCCCAGGGAGGCCUCUGCACCCAUCCACACAGACAGGGACACAAUAAGUAGUUAAUCUAUUAACAAAAAGGAGCUGGCAGGCCCUGCUGUGCCAGAGCACUGAAACCACCCAAACUGGGAACCAAGCUAGAUUUUACAUCCAUCACUUUGAUCACAGUAUCUCCCAUGUAUCUUUCUUGGGAAUGGGCCCCUGAUGUGAAAAACAAUCACACUGCUGUGUGUAAAAAUAAAGGCAAAGAAAUGGGUCCUGUUUCAGAACACCACCACACAUUUGGGUUUCCAUGCAGUUUGUCAGAGGAGAAUUUGAAGUUUUUGUGUCCAAGACUACUAGAUUAAGAUGAAUUUAGUUGGAAUAGUAAUGUGAACUGGGUUUGGGCAAUACUGGACAUGCCCCUCGAGCAUGCCUGCCCUGUAAUGCCAGUGUGUGAUGACAUCCUCAUGCAUGAAUCCUGAACAUACCAACUUCUGCAUACACGUGUUACUAUCAGGGACACAGUAAGAGUAAAAUCCUGGCCAUGUGGGGACAAUUUAAUAUAAUAUAUGCAGAAAGUCAAGUGAAAAGUCAACAACUGACAUGUUCCCAAGCCGUGGGGCAUUUACGCACGAGCAGCUGGUGCACAAUCAUUGUAAUGAAAACAAUUUCUUAUCAUUAAAUAUACAAUGCACACAUUUGCUUUCCUUGUUUUGCUUAAAUGAAGACGGUAUUUCUAGGUAAAAAUGUCUUGCACUACCUCUUCCUUCUCUGCAUUUCUUCUUUUUUCAAUUAGCAAGCUACUACUGUAUGUUUGGAUAAUCACUGCCUUUUGAUGACAAAAUGUUUUAGCCUUCCUUACCUUUUCUCUUUUAUUCCCUAUAAUGUUAUCGGAGGCUGAGGUUUGUUAAGGUUUUCACAUGUGAUAUUUAUAUAAAUCAAACCUCUUCUGUUGCAUGAAGACUGUGGAUUUUUAAAUGUAUUUGUGAUGCACAGGGUCUCCAUAAAAAGAAACUUGGCAGUGAUUCCUCCCGCUUUAUUCUUUCAUUUUCUCAAAUUUUCUAUUUCCUGUUAAUUUUGUUGUCUUGUCCUUGCACUUUCCUUCCACUUUCCUGUAUUUUGUCAAAAAAGGCUGUGCAACAGAAAAAUCUGGUCACAUGCAUGCCCAAGAGAUUAAUUGACCUUUGUGCCUUUAAACCUCCUGAGCAGUUCAAGUCAGAACAGCAAAGAACGAAUCUGCAGCAGAAUUAUCUUUCUGGAAAUAAAUAACAGGCUCUUCAAAGCCCCA